rnacentral:rRNA from 1 species
AGAGUUUGAUCCUGGCUCAGGAUGAACGCUGGCGGCGUGCCUUAUACAUGCAAGUCGAACGCUUUGUCUUUAACUGAUCUGACGAGCUUGCUCUGAAGUGAUUUUAUCUGACAAAGAGUGGCGCACGGGUGAGUAACACGUGGGUAACCUACCUCUUAGCAGGGGAUAACAUUUGGAAACAAGUGCUAAUACCGUAUAAUACCAACAACCGCAUGGUUGUUGGUUGAAAGAUGGUUCUGCUAUCACUAAGAGAUGGACCCGCGGUGCAUUAGCUAGUUGGUAAGGUAACGGCUUACCAAGGCAAUGAUGCAUAGUCGAGUUGAGAGACUGAUCGGCCACAAUGGGACUGAGACACGGCCCAUACUCCUACGGGAGGCAGCAGUAGGGAAUCUUCCACAAUGGGCGCAAGCCUGAUGGAGCAACGCCGCGUGUGUGAUGAAGGGUUUCGGCUCGUAAAACACUGUUAUAAGAGAAGAACGGCACUGAGAGUAACUGUUCAGUGUGUGACGGUAUCUUACCAGAAAGGAACGGCUAAAUACGUGCCAGCAGCCGCGGUAAUACGUAUGUUCCAAGCGUUAUCCGGAUUUAUUGGGCGUAAAGCGAGCGCAGACGGUUAUUUAAGUCUGAAGUGAAAGCCCUCAGCUCAACUGAGGAAUGGCUUUGGAAACUGGAUGACUUGAGUGCAGUAGAGGAAAGUGGAACUCCAUGUGUAGCGGUGAAAUGCGUAGAUAUAUGGAAGAACACCAGUGGCGAAGGCGGCUUUCUGGACUGUAACUGACGUUGAGGCUCGAAAGUGUGGGUAGCAAACAGGAUUAGAUACCCUGGUAGUCCACACCGUAAACGAUGAGUGCUAGAUGUUCGAGGGUUUCCGC